CGGACGGGUGAGUAACACGUGGAUAACCUACCUAUAAGACUGGGAUAACUUCGGGAAACCGGAGCUAAUACCGGAUAAUAUUUUGAACCGCAUGGUUCAAAAGUGAAAGACGGUCUUGCUGUCACUUAUAGAUGGAUCCGCGCUGCACUAGCUAGUUGGUAAGGUAACGGCUUACCAAGGCAACGAUGCAUAGCCGACCUGAGAGGGUGAUCGGCCACACUGGAACUGAGACACGGUCCAG
rnacentral:rRNA from 1 species